CAGCUGGCUCGCUGGGGCUGAUGCAGGGCAGACCUGUGGAGCUCGACAGCUGACAGCAGGAGACCAGACCGACAGACCGACAGACAGACAGACUGAGAGGCUCUCACACACGCACACGCACACGCACACGAACACACACACACACACACACACACACACACGCACUGCCGCUCUGGGCUCUUCUCAAUCAGGGGCUGUUUGUACAGCCAGUCUCUCUCUCUCGCUCUCUCGGUUAUGUGCUGCUCGAGUCAGGGCACACCAGUGCAGGCCAGUCUCUCUGUGUCGAGGGGUCGAUGGGGAGCUCUGCUCAGAACGUGAGCCUCUCUGUGGGAUUCCUGGAAAAGUAAAGAGAAGACGGACCCGGAGCCACGCUCUGGAGAGCUGCAAGUAACAAAGAAAGAACGAAACGACGAGAGAAAGAAAGAAAAAAGAUGUCAGAGGAGGCAGACCUGGGUGAGGUUCCGGACCCCUCCCCGGACCCGAGUGCGAGCCACAAGCUGGACUGCAUCAUCUGCUACUCCUCCUUCAACCUGCGUGAGCGUCUCCCACGCAAGCUGCACUGCGGGCACACGUUCUGCCAGGACUGCCUGCGGCGGCUGGACACGGUGCUGAACGAGCAGCGCUGGAUCCCCUGUCCACAGUGCCGGCAGAACACCCCCUGUCCGCGGGGUGGGGCCGGCGCGCUCGACCUAGACCUCGCCGCCUUCCUCGCAGCCAAAACCCAGGCGGAGACCCACAGGGGGUCGACCCGGCAGACCGGCGCCGAACCCCACAGCAAAGUGUCCAGCGGCAAGCAGCAGCCGAUCAGCGAGCAGCCCUCUGUGUGGGGCCAGGAGCUCCCCUCGGAGCCACACUUCCCCAGGAGUCCCUGCUGCUGCCGCUGCUGCUGCUGCUGGUGGGUGUGAGCGGCCAGUGCAAGGAGAUCCGCCCUGUCCAGACUGGAGGGGUCCCACCGGCAAACCAAAUGACAUGCAACUGACCCACGGCUGCUGUGUGGCACAGAUGAAGAGAGCAUCUCCUUUCUCACCCUGAGAAACUGAGACACACUGGCACAGGCUCAGCACUGCAGACACUUUGAACAACAGCAGGUGGAAACACAGCUCAUGCUAUAGGAGAUCGUUGGAUCCUACAGCCCUGGAAAGGCUUGCAGUGAUUGUGUGAGGACUCUGACCCGUGUGAAUCCAGGCAGAAGGGUUGUUUUGUAACUGUAGUAUUCCACAGCACUGUUUUCCAGCUCCUGUAAAGAGGAAUCAGUAACCACCUCUAUCCACCAGAACGAUGAGGAGCUUCUCGCGCAAUGCAAACCACGUGAUGCUCAGAUUAGCAGGGAUUAGGGCGGAGCGCUCUGCUUUGCAUUGCUCUGUACUGACACACUCUUAUGUGGCUCUUUCCAGUAUUAAAUGCGCUUCCUUUCCAGCUGUGUCCUCUAGUCCUGCUUUCUGUGCUUCAAGUCUCAGCUUUGGUGUAACGUUUGUUCACAGCUAAACAGAUUAACUAACUGGAUGUAAAAAAUAUAUAAAAAAUAAAGGAAUGAUUAUUUUUUGUCAGUCUGAUCUCCCUUAAUAAUAAUAAUAAUAAUAAUAAUAAUAAUAAUAAUAAUAAUAAUACGCGCCAGCGUCACGUUUUCAUUUCCAGCACACCUGUGCCCCUAGGACGAGUCCACGAGAGACCCGGGCGGAGCGACUGUGCCUGGAGAACGUUUCCAUAGCAACCACUUACCUGCGGCUCACGGGAAAGUUAGCGGACCCCGAAUACGAGGUUGAGUCUGUGGUGAAGAACGCGCUGUGCGUCUGUAUCGCUGCAGACAGCUGGUUUGCAGGUAUGUUGUGUUAGCUCCGUUAUUGAAGAUGUGGGUGCGUCUUGCAAAUCGAGCGGUGUCUUAGACACCUGUUUCGGACUCCAGAUAUUUCUUAAUGAUCGCACCUGAAUGACUACCUGCUUUAGGAGUGGCGCGACAACAAAGCCAAGUUUCGACCCAGAACCUGCAAACCUACUGCAGAAACCUGCCUGGAUACCUGGAGAGAUCUUAAUCGCUCGCUGUGCUCUGGGGUGUACUCUUGUCGUUCUUCGGGAGAAGACUUGCUAGCCAGUGGUAAAAGGGGCAUCUUUGUAAGGGCAGUGACGUUUUGUUUCCGAUAACCGUCUCCCCCGGGAGCUCCGUGUUUACACGCGUUAAUCCUGCUGCUGCUGCACCGGCUCUCACAGAACCAGGGCCGCGGCGCUACGGUUCUGUCGUGUAAACGCGACGGGACACUUUCUGAAGGAGCGUUUGGUGUGUGAUUGUGCCGCAGUCACGCCCUCGCCAGGAUGUAAUGGUUGGAUUUGAAUACGGCAGAACGUUGCAAGAGCCUCUUGAGAUUUGGAGAGGCAGGCCUGUAAGAUCACACAGCUGGGUCGACCAUGGCAGGAAAGCGGCUGCUUUGCACAGUGCUCUGCUGGCAUUGAUCACGGAGACCAGGAGCCAUGCA